AACGAACGCUGGCGGCAGGCUUAACACAUGCAAGUCGAACGCCCCGCAGGGGGAGUGGCAGACGGGUGAGUAACGCGUGGGAAUCUACCCAGUUCUACGGAACAACAGAGGGAAACUUCUGCUAAUACCGUAUACGCCCCAAGGGGGAAAGAUUUAUCGGAAUUGGAUGAGCCCGCGUAAGAUUAGCUAGUUGGUGAGGUAAUGGCUCACCAAGGCGACGAUCUUUAGCUGGUCUGAGAGGAUGAUCAGCCACACUGGGACUGAGACACGGCCCAGACUCCUACGGGAGGCAGCAGUGGGGAAUAUUGGACAAUGGGCGCAAGCCUGAUCCAGCCAUGCCGCGUGAGUGAUGAAGGCCUUAGGGUUGUAAAGCUCUUUCAGUAGGGAAGAUAAUGACGGUACCUACAGAAGAAGCCCCGGCUAACUUCGUGCCAGCAGCCGCGGUAACAC
rnacentral:rRNA from 1 species